GAGUUUGAUCCUGGCUCAGAUUGAACGCUGGCGGCAGGCUUAACACAUGCAAGUCGAACGGUAACAUGAGUGCUUGCACUUGAUGACGAGUGGCGGACGGGUGAGUAAAGUAUGGGGAUCUGCCGAAUGGAGGGGGACAACAGUUGGAAACGACUGCUAAUACCGCAUAAUGUUGAGAAACCAAAGCAUGGGACUUUCGGGCCACGCGCCAUUUGAUGAACCCAUAUGGGAUUAGCUAGUUGGUAGGGUAAAGGCUUACCAAGGCGACGAUCUCUAGCUGGUCUGAGAGGAUGACCAGCCACACUGGAACUGAGACACGGUCCAGACUCCUACGGGAGGCAGCAGUGGGGAAUAUUGCACAAUGGGGGAAACCCUGAUGCAGCCAUGCCGCGUGUAUGAAGAAGGCCUUCGGGUUGUAAAGUACUUUCGGUAAUGAGGAAGGUGAUGUAUCUAAUAGGUGCAUCAAUUGGCGUUAAUUACAGAAGAAGCACCGGCUAACUCCGUGCCAGCAGCCGCGGUAAUACGGAGGGUGCGAGCGUUAAUCGGAAUGACUGGGCGUAAAGGGCAUGUAGGCGGAUAAUUAAGUUAGGUGUGAAAGCCCUGGGCUCAACCUAGGAAUUGCACUUAAAACUGGUUAACUAGAGUAUUGUAGAGGAAGGUAGAAUUCCACGUGUAGCGGUGAAAUGCGUAGAGAUGUGGAGGAAUACCGGUGGCGAAGGCGGCCUUCUGGACAGAUACUGACGCUGAGAUGCGAAAGCGUGGGGAGCAAACAGGAUUAGAUACCCUGGUAGUCCACGCUGUAAACGAUGUCGAUUUGGAGUUUGUUGCCUUGAGUGAUGGGCUCCGAAGCUAACGCGAUAAAUCGACCGCCUGGGGAGUACGGCCGCAAGGUUAAAACUCAAAUGAAUUGACGGGGGCCCGCACAAGCGGUGGAGCAUGUGGUUUAAUUCGAUGCAACGCGAAGAACCUUACCUGGUCUUGACAUCCACAGAAUCUUGCAGAGAUGCGGGAGUGCCUUCGGGAACUGUGAGACAGGUGCUGCAUGGCUGUCGUCAGCUCGUGUUGUGAAACGUUGGGUUAAGUCCCGCAACGAGCGCAACCCUUAUCCUUUGUUGCCAUCGGUUUGGCCGGGAACUCAAAGGAGACUGCCGUUGAUAAAGCGGAGGAAGGUGGGGACGACGUCAAGUCAUCAUGGCCCUUACGACCAGGGCUACACACGUGCUACAAUGGCGUAUACAAAGGGAGGCGA
rnacentral:rRNA from 1 species